UUAUUUUAUUUUUGUUUGUUUUUGUAAGUGAUUAAGACAAUAAUUAGAACAAAACCACAGCACAGAAUAGUUUAGAUUUAAAAAAAACAUCAUAUGUCGGGGCUUUGGGCAAGGAAGAGAAUAGCUCUUGGUCCCGACAUAAUUGGUGACCCUGUAACGGGGACAGGUGACGAACCUGAAAGACCGCUGUGUUAUCGAUAGUGGACCGCCACCCCGUGACCCUGUGAAAAAAGAGACUGCCCACAAGCGCGCUAAGAGUAAAAGGAUUCUUCUUCUGCUUCUUCUUCCUCCUCUGUCCUAAAACUGAUUGUGGAGAAGACACUGUAAGGCAUCCAAACACCAUUCUGAAAUAAAGAAGAAGGCUUUUUCUCCCUUCCACAAGAACUCAGCA